rnacentral:rRNA from 1 species
GACGAACGCUGGCGGCGUGCUUAACACAUGCAAGUCGAACGGUAAGGCCCUUCGGGGUACACGAGUGGCGAACGGGUGAGUAACACGUGGGUGAUCUGCCCUGCACUUCGGGAUAAGCCUGGGAAACUGGGUCUAAUACCGGAUAGGACCACUGCCUGCAUGGGUGGUGGUGGAAAGCUUUUGCGGUGUGGGAUGGGCCCGCGGCCUAUCAGCUUGUUGGUGGGGUGAUGGCCUACCAAGGCGACGACGGGUAGCCGGCCUGGGAGGGGGACCGGCCAGCUUGGGACGGGGGUACGGCCCAGACUGCUUCGGGAGGCAGGAGUGGGGAAUAGUGCACGAUGGGCGCAAGCCUGAUGCAGCGACGCCGCGUGAGGGAUGACGGCCUUCGGGUUGUAAACCUCUUUCAGCACCGACGAAGCGCAAGUGACGGUAGGUGCAGAAGAAGGACCGGCCAACUACGUGCCAGCAGCCGCGGUAA